AUGAAGUUGCCUGUUCUGUUGGUGCUGCUUUUGUUCACAAUUCCUGCUUCCAGAGGUGAUGUAGUGAUGACACAAUCUCCACCCUCCUUGUCUGUCAGCCUUGGAGAGCAAGUCUCCAUCUCUUGCAAGUCUAGUCAGAGCCUUGUACAUAGUGAUGGAAACACCUAUUUGGAAUGGUACCUGCAGAAGCCAGGGCAGUCUCCAAAGCUCUUGGUCUACAAGGUUUCCAACCGAUUUUCUGGGGUGCCAGACAGGUUUAGUGGCAGUGGUUCAGGCACAGAUUUCACUCUCAAGAUCAGUAGAAUGGAGCCUGAGGAUUUUGGAGUAUAUUUCUGCUUUCAAGGUUCUCAUGCUCCUCACACAUUGAUUCAGACCCUUACAAAAACAUCCUUACUUGGGGUGGCCCUGCUGCCAAACACAUUACAUAUCUGUUUGUUAGAGA